AAUGGGUCAGCGACUUAUAUUCUGUAGCAAGGUUAACCGAAUAGGGGAGCCGGAGGGAAACCGAGUCUUAAUUGGGCGUUAAGUUGCAGGGUAUAGACCCGAAACCCGGUGAUCUAGCCAUGGGCAGGUUGAAGGUUGGGUAACACUAACUGGAGGACCGAACCGACUAAUGUUGAAAAAUUAGCGGAUGACCUGUGGCUGGGGGUGAAAGGCCAAUCAAACCGGGAGAUAGCUGGUUCUCCCCGAAAGCUAUUUAGGUAGCGCCUCGUGAAUUCAUCUCCGGGGGUAGAGCACUGUUUCGGCUAGGGGGCCAUCCCGGCUUACCAACCCGAUGCAAACUGCGAAUACCGGAGAAUGUUAUCACGGGAGACACACGGCGGGUGCUAACGUCCGUCGUGAAGAGGGAAACAACCCAGACCGCCAGCUAAGGUCCCAAAGUCAUGGUUAAGUGGGAAACGAUGUGGGAAGGCCCAGACAGCCAGGAUGUUGGCUUAGAAGCAGCCAUCAUUUAAAGAAAGCGUAAUAGCUCACUGGUCGAGUCGGCCUGCGCGGAAGAUGUAACGGGGCUAAACCAUGCACCGAAGCUGCGGCAGCGACGCUUAUGCGUUGUUGGGUAGGGGAGCGUUCUGUAAGCCUGCGAAGGUGGCCUGUGAGGGUUGCUGGAGGUAUCAGAAGUGCGAAUGCUGACAUAAGUAACGAUAAAGCGGGUGAAAAGCCCGCUCGCCGGAAGACCAAGGGUUCCUGUCCAACGUUAAUCGGGGCAGGGUGAGUCGACCCCUAAGGCGAGGCCGAAAGGCGUAGUCGAUGGGAAACGGGUUAAUAUUCCCGUACUUGGUGUUACUGCGAAGGGGGGACGGAGAAGGCUAUGUUGGCCGGGCGACGGUUGUCCCGGUUUAAGCGUGUAGGUGUGUGUUCCAGGUAAAUCCGGUUCACUUUAACACUGAGGCGUGAUGACGAGGCACUACGGUGCUGAAGCAACAAAUGCCCUGCUUCCAGGAAAAGCCUCUAAGCAUCAGGUAACAUCAAAUCGUACCCCAAACCGACACAGGUGGUCAGGUAGAGAAUACCAAGGCGCUUGAGAGAACUCGGGUGAAGGAACUAGGCAAAAUGGUGCCGUAACUUCGGGAGAAGGCACGCUGACAUGUAGGUGAAGUGAUUUACUCAUGGAGCUGAAGUCAGUCGAAGAUACCAGCUGGCUGCAACUGUUUAUUAAAAACACAGCACUGUGCAAACACGAAAGUGGACGUAUACGGUGUGACGCCUGCCCGGUGCCGGAAGGUUAAUUGAUGGGGUCAGCGCAAGCGAAGCUCCUGAUCGAAGCCCCGGUAAACGGCGGCCGUAACUAUAACGGUCCUAAGGUAGCGAAAUUCCUUGUCGGGUAAGUUCCGACCUGCACGAAUGGCGUAAUGAUGGCCAGGCUGUCUCCACCCGAGACUCAGUGAAAUUGAACUCGCUGUGAAGAUGCAGUGUACCCGCGGCAAGACGGAAAGACCCCGUGAACCUUUACUAUAGCUUGACACUGAACAUUGAGCCUUGAUGUGUAGGAUAGGUGGGAGGCUUUGAAGCGUGGACGCCAGUCUGCGUGGAGCCGACCUUGAAAUACCACCCUUUAAUGUUUGAUGUUCUAACGUGGACCCGUGAUCCGGGUUGCGGACAGUGUCUGGUGGGUAGUUUGACUGGGGCGGUCUCCUCCUAAAGAGUAACGGAGGAGCACGAAGGUUGGCUAAUCCUGGUCGGACAUCAGGAGGUUAGUGCAAUGGCAUAAGCCAGCUUGACUGCGAGCGUGACGGCGCGAGCAGGUGCGAAAGCAGGUCAUAGUGAUCCGGUGGUUCUGAAUGGAAGGGCCAUCGCUCAACGGAUAAAAGGUACUCCGGGGAUAACAGGCUGAUACCGCCCAAGAGUUCAUAUCGACGGCGGUGUUUGGCACCUCGAUGUCGGCUCAUCACAUCCUGGGGCUGAAGUAGGUCCCAAGGGUAUGGCUGUUCGCCAUUUAAAGUGGUACGCGAGCUGGGUUUAGAACGUCGUGAGACAGUUCGGUCCCUAUCUGCCGUGGGCGCUGGAGAACUGAGGGGGGCUGCUCCUAGUACGAGAGGACCGGAGUGGACGCAUCACUGGUGUUCGGGUUGUCAUGCCAAUGGCACUGCCCGGUAGCUAAAUGCGGAAGAGAUAAGUGCUGAAAGCAUCUAAGCACGAAACUUGCCCCGAG
rnacentral:rRNA from 1 species